UUCUAAAUCCAAGACACUCUC
rnacentral:misc_RNA from 1 species